AUUGAACGCUGGCGGCAUGUUUUACACAUGCAAGUCGAACGGGGUGGGGGGCAACUCCCAUUCAGUGGCGAACGGGUGAGUAAUGCAUCGGAACGUAUCCCGUAGUGGGGGACAACGCCGCGAAAGCGGCGCUAAUACCGCAUAUGCUCUACGGAGGAAAGUGGGGGACCGCAAGGCCUCACGCUAUGGGAGCGGCCGAUGUCCGAUUAGCUAGUUGGUGGGGUAAUGGCCCACCAAGGCGACGAUCGGUAGCUGGUCUGAGAGGAUGAUCAGCCAAACUGGGACUGAGACACGGCCCAGACUCCUACGGGAGGCAGCAGUGGGGAAUUUUGGACAAUGGGGGCAACCCUGAUCCAGCCAUGCCGCGUGCGGGAAGAAGGCCUUCGGGUUGUAAACCGCUUUUAGUCGGGAAGAAAAGGCGUCUCCUAAUACGGGGCGUUCUUGACGGUACCGGCGGAAUAAGCACCGGCUAACUACGUGCCAGCAGCCGCCGUAACAC
rnacentral:rRNA from 1 species